GAGCCUUGAGUGACCAGGCUUGCAGCUAGCUACUCAUGACUAAGUGCCUAAAUUUAGAUGUUUAUCAUCAUCAGUGUUGCAAGAUACUAUAGAAUUUAUAUCGUAACUAUGGCUUCUUGUUAAAGUUCACCUCAAAAAGCCUGUGCACUGGUGGUACCAUCACACUUCACUGCAGAAAAAGCAACACCGCUUUCUGUGAAGUGAUUUGCCACCUCUUCCUCUACAGCCGUCUGGAGGCAUGUGUGAGCUGAGUGGUGUUGAGAGUUGUUCACCAACGCCAGGAAGAGGGUGUUGAUCUUUACCAUAAGCAAGAUGCCAGAUCAAACCCCAAGAUGCUGAUACCUGAAGGAGCUGGUGGAUACCUGUCAGGCCAGGCCAUGUUCAAGUCUCACAACUCCAUUUCUUGACAUUGGAUGCUGAAGAGAUAACCUGUCUCAGAAAAAGGCAG